rnacentral:lncRNA from 10 species
AAAAGAGGCUGCUCCCUUGGUGUUCUGGACCAGCUUCUGACCCUUAGGCGUGGAAGUGUCUCAAAUGAGCUCCAGGGGUCCUGUGUGACCAAAGGAGCUUAAUUGCAAAGGCACCAGCUAUUGUGACAGAAUUUUUGAGACGAUAACUUUCAACAAGUUCCUGGACUGAGAGGGCUGGCCGUAAAGUGGGCGUGGUCUAUGGGCUGUCAUAGUUACCGUCUUCUGUGACGUAUCAAAAGGGCAUUGUUGAUGCUCUCAUUUCCACCAUUUGAUACCAUCUGUUUCUCACACACAUCCAUGAGGGAAGAAUCAUUCCCAUUUAACAGACAAUGUAACUGGGCCUGAAUAUAGCUCAGCGACUUGCCCCAGGCCCACCAGGAAGUGGAUAAAGCCAUGCUCAACCCAGCACUUCUUCUCUCUACCUUCCACCGAUCCUGCCUGCUCAUCUUCCCUCCUUGGUGAAGAACUCAACCAUCUCAUGCUCCUACUACCAUGGUUGACGAGGAAGCUGAGCCACCAGACAGAGCAGUGGUGACCUACAGAGCCGUGCUUUCAUGACCAUAUGGCCUCUCAGCCGCGGGACUUGCCACACUGUCCCAUACAAUCCUCUGUCAUUUUAGUAUCUGUCACUGCCAGGUCUUCUUCACACCAGCUUGUGAGAAAAAAUGGUGCAUCACUUCUCAAUCCUGGUUUUAGUGACAUCAUAUUGAUAGCUUGAACUUUGCCAUAUUUACAUCACAGAAAUCAGUAAACACCAUUAAAAAGGCUUUUGUUUUCUUCCUUUUUUUUUUCUCAGAGAGCCAGUUAUUAAACAUUUACCAACAUGUGCAAGAACGGGUUUCAAGGCCGAGGUGGGCAGAUCACAAGGUCAGGACUUUGAGACCAGCCUGGCCAAUAUGGUGAAACCCCAUUUCUACUAAAAAUACAAAAAAAUUAGCCAGGCGUGGUGAUGCAUGCCUGUAAUCCCAGCUACUCGGUAGGCUGAGGCAGGAGAAUUGCUUGAACCCGGGAGGCGGAGGUUUGCAGUGAGCCAAGAUCGCGCCACUGCACUCCAGCCUGGCAACAGAGCAAGACUCCGUCUCAAACAAAACACAGCACAACAAAACAAAAAAGAACGAGUUUCAUAGUGAGAAACAGCGGAGAAACCAGCUUACCUGGUGGGCCUUGAGUGGCCCCUACAAACUCCAACCUGUUCAAGACUCAUUUGCCACGUUGUACCUUCCAGCCAAGGCAAUCCCCCCAGCCUGAGCUACUUCCCAGACCAGACCACAGAAGCAAGGCCAUGCUCACCGAGGACCCCACUUGUGGACUAGACUUCUGUCCUGCUGUGGCCUCAAAAGCAAUAGCCAGGGCCCCAUGAUGAAGCUGCCAUCAGAAGCACAGGUGUGCCUGGCAAGGACACAGGAGGACCACGGCUCCAUGCCGAUGAGAAUGGCAGCUAAGUCUGAAGCUUUCUAUGAUUUAGAUUCCUGGUUGCGAGAGGGAGCCUAUAGGAAUGGCGAGAAGAGUGAGAACUUUGCAGAGGCAGCAAGGAUUUUCUCUUUGGGUCACCGCGUGUUCUUUGGGGUCAUAUAAAGUACUCUGCUCAAGAACAAAGGCCAGUGUGGCUAUGAUGAAAAUGCAUUGACAGAGGGGCUUCAAUGUCUAUGGAACAGAAACAAGAGCCCUGGACCAAGAGGAGGAAAUGUGGAUUCACCAACAUGUUGAAAAUCAUUCUAACAUCUCCAGGCCUCAGCGUGGUCAUUCACAAAUGGAAUUCAACAAUUUCUAAGGUCCCUGUAACUAGCUUUGACAAAGAGAACACAGUGGAAGUGAUCCUGCCCACCCCUUUUCCAAGGUAGACCUUAAAAGACCUGUAGCUUCCACUAUUGUGCCUCCUAGAAGCCUGUACCAUGUAAGAAUUCUAACUACCAUGGGAACAUCAUGCUGUGAGGAAGCCCAAGCUAGCCAUUUGGGAGAGAGGAAGGCCACGUAGAGAAGCACCAAGAAACUAGACAUGUUUGUGAAGCCUACUUGAACUUUCCAGCCCAACUCCAGCUGAAUGCAUCCAAGUGAAUGGCCCCAGCUGAUCCCCUGUGGAGCAGAACCACCCUGCUGACUCCUGACUGAAUCCCUGAUCCACAGAAUUGUGAGCAAUAAUAUGACUGUUGUUCUAAAUCACAAAGUUG